GACAGAGGGUGCAAACGUUGCUCGGAAUUACUGGGCGUAAAGGGCGUGUAGGCGGGCAGGUAAGUCGGGCGUGAAAUCCCUGGGCUCAACCCAGGAACUGCACUCGAAACUACUUGCCUUGAGUGCCGGAGAGGAAAGCGGAAUUCCUGGUGUAGAGGUGAAAUUCGUAGAUAUCAGGAGGAACACCAGUGGCGAAGGCGGCUUUCUGGACGGUAACUGGACG
rnacentral:rRNA from 1 species